rnacentral:rRNA from 1 species
GACGAGCUCUCCAAACGUUAUUCGGUAUCACUGGGCUUAAAGAGUUCGUAGGCGGCUUUGCAGGUGGGGUGUGAAAGCCCUCGGCUCAACCGAGGAAUUGCGCCCCAAACCGCAAGGCUUGAGGGAUAUAGGGGUAAGCGGAACAGAUGGUGGAGCGGUGAAAUGCAUUGAUAUCAUCUGGAACACCGGUGGCGAAGGCGGCUUACUGGAUAUUUUCUGACGCUGAGGAACGAAAGCUAGGGUAGCGAACGGGAUUAGAUACCCCGGUAGUCCUAGCCGUAAACGAUGAGCACUAGUUUGAAGGACUCUCACAGUCUUUCGAACGUAGCGAAAGUGUUAAGUGCUCCGCCUGGGGAGUAUGGUCGCAAGGCUGAA